AGUGAACGCUGGCGGUAGGCCUAACACAUGCAAGUCGAACGGCAGCACAGUAAGAGCUUGCUCUUACGGGUGGCGAGUGGCGGACGGGUGAGGAAUACAUCGGAAUCUACUUUUUCGUGGGGGAUAACGUAGGGAAACUUACGCUAAUACCGCAUACGACCUACGGGUGAAAGCAGGGGAUCUUCGGACCUUGCGCGAUUGAAUGAGCCGAUGUCGGAUUAGCUAGUUGGCGGGGUAAAGGCCCACCAAGGCGACGAUCCGUAGCUGGUCUGAGAGGAUGAUCAGCCACCCUGGAACUGAGACACGGUCCCGACUCCUACGGGAGGCAGCAGUGGGGAAUAUUGGACAAUGGGCGCAAGCCUGAUCCAGCCAUACCGCGUGGGUGAAGAAGGCCUUCGGGUUGUAAAGCCCUUUUUUUGGGAAAGAAAAGCAGCAGGUUAAUACCCCGCUGUUCUGACGGUACCCAAAGAAUAAGCACCGGCUAACUUCGUG
rnacentral:rRNA from 1 species